UGUAUGAGACCUAUUCCACUGUCAUAACUUAUAGUCUAAAGGCAAGGGUAUGGGACAAACCAAGAGAGAUGAUAAACAGAGCCCUGGCAUAUGGGAUUAAGAGUUUUCUAGCUAGAAUCUGGACCCAUACCAUGGAAAAUUGGGGGGUUCUGGGGAUCCCAAAACCAGGGUUCCAGCUUUACUGGUGACCCACUAGGAACCUGAGUGUGAGAUCCAGCUCUGGUUUGUAUCCUGGUCUUCCUAAUGAAAAGGAAGAAGAGUCAGAUCUCUGUGUGGUGAGGUCCCUUUUCUGAACAGAUGGAUUUGAGCAUUCGCCAGGGUUUGCUGGAGAAGGCACUCCUACACUAGGUGUGAUGACGGAUGAGAUGGAAAUUCUUCUUUACUCAGAGGUUUACUGAGGACACAGAGCUUAUUAAUGAAAGAGACCUGUGGAUUAAAAUGCUGCAGAUAGGUCCCACAGUCCCUUUUGCAAGGAGCUGUAGCCAGCAGGGGCCCGCACUUUGGCAAGAAGUGAACAGAGUUCAAAUACCAGUGAGGCAAGAGCCGUGAAGCUGAAUGAGAGGGAAUGGGCAGCAUCAUGCCAGAAAGAUGGAAGUAGAUGUUAUCCAGUCCUCAGCGCUUGAACAGACUCGGGGCUCAGCUACUGUACACUCUGGUCUCCUUUCCCUCCACCAGUCCUCUACCAGGUAGAACUCCAGGCCAGCUCUUAAUUCGAGUUUGUUUGCUUAAGAUUCAAAAGUGGAUAAGUAAAAUAGACCAGUGGAAAAGAUAAGUCCAACAGAGAGGUUCCAGUGUGUGGAGAAACGUGGUCCAUCAAGGGCUCCUGAGACAAACCAUACACCUAACAGUAACUGAGAAUUGGUCUUCCCGACCAGACACAGUGGGAAAGAGGAAAACCUAGAAACGUGCUCUUCGUCAGUCUGCCCGCUGGGCUGGGAAGUCUGUACUAUCACAUAAAUAGGCACCAUCUCCUUGGAGUGGAUCCAGCUGUUGACUGUAACCAGAUUCACUCUUUGCUUACUAGAUUUUUCAUUAUCACCGUAAGAUGAACCUCUGGCUCAGCCACAGAUGUGAACAUAAGUGGAGUUGAUUGUCCAGAAAGUGAAAGAAGACUCUGACCUUUUCUGCUGGGUAUUUGUUACUGGAACACCAUGGCUGGGCUCUAGCUACUUUACGUAACUUCCCAGCAGAGCUUUACAUAACUUCCCUCAUCGUUAGUAAUAGUCUGCGGACUUUCUGUUGGGGGACUCUGCUGGGCUUCUUUUUGGAGCAUUUUAAAAUAUUUGGGCGUCCAUGCCUAUCUCAACCAGGACCAGACCUUAUGGCUUACUAGGGAGUAAUAAACGUUCACUGUCUCAGUUGGCAACGGUCUUGUUGACGAUAAAAGAGGGCCCGAGUUCCUUUAUCUGUUCAUUCCGACUGGGAUGGAGAACCCAAAUUUCUGCUCAGGUUUCCACUUGAGGAGGGGCCGGGCAUGCUGUCCCACAGCCACAUCCCACAUUGUAGCUUCUUAGACAAUAAAGAGCAUCCUCCUCAGCUGUCUGAGGGCUGCUGAGGAGCGAUGAGGAAAAGCAAGUCUCCCCGAAAGGUUCUCACAGACCAGGGACUCUGUUAUCAUCAGAGAUAUGUUCUUUCUGUGUGCUCGGUGGACACCUUUGACCCUGUUCCCUUCACUCGACAAAGGAAGCAGUCUUCUCGCAGGGUUUUACACAGAGGACAUUCUUCGACUUGGGAAGUGUCAGGCUCUUACAAGCAAAAGAUCCUCAAGUUAGGGCAACUUGGUGGGAGAUGGGAGUAGGGAGUGCUUGGGCCUUGUAAGGACAUGCCAUGUGGGUUAGUACAGCUUAAUGGCUUAAAGCAGGGACUAGAUUCAGACCUAGGUUCAAGUCCUGACAUCAUAAGAAGUAACAUAUUAUUUAGCCAUCCUAAGCCUAGUUUCCUUAUCUAUAAAAUAGAAUGGUGCUAUGUCUUGGAGGUGUCAGGGUUUGGGGGGAACCUGUGAAAGUGCUUAGCACAGGGCCUGGCACACGGAGGUGUCAGGGGGCAGCCAUCAGGAAAGGUGCAGGCCCAACCAGAGAGGGGAAGGUGCAGAGAACUGAGGUCGCUCUGCAAAAGCACGUGAUUGCUUGAUGACAGCUUUUGCCUUCCAUCUUUUGCUUCCAUUUAGCCUGUUCGUUUACUCUGCCUUUUCUGUAUCUCCCGGCUCCCAAAAGUUUGUGUGCGCCAUGACACCAGGUGGUUCUGAUUCUCUUGACUUUUCUUAGUUCACACUCUAACAUGUGGGAUUUGGCCCAGCUCCUCUUUCUAUACCAGGCCACAGAAGUCUCCAUCCAACCCUUGGACUGGCUGCCCUUGGGUUACAUGCGCAUCUUGGUUCAGUCAGCUGUAGUCAGGCAGGAAGGUCCCAGAUCCCAGGAUCUGUGGGCCUGGUAGACUGACAUGGGAAUGGGCAAACGGUGGCACAGUGGGGCAUUCCUAGUACUGCGAGGAGAGGAAAGACUCUGUUUCACCUGUAUCAGGCUUGCUUGAAAGGCUUCUACUUCAUCAGCACAUCCUAGACCAGAGCUCAUGGCCCCUGCGUAAAGGACCUGGAAGGUGCUGUUUCUGUAUCUUGCAAAAGAAGUAAUUUGUUACUUUCUAGGGUGUUAUUCCUCCUUUCUGUCCCAGCUCCACUUUCUUUUUAAAUAUGUAACUCUGGCCAUAAUUCUAUUUAUACACACAUACACAAUGACUUCUGUCAACUUGGUCAAAUUGCCUCUUCAAGACAAAACAUAAUUCUGCCCCUUAAGACCAACUGCCCACUGAAGAAUGCAGAGAGAUACAGUCAAAUCAGAGAGGCCUCAAAAGUACUGCGCUGCAAUGCUCUUAAAAUUGCCAGGUUACAUUUCAAAUAAAAUAUUUGGUAAAACCUC
ensembl:lncRNA